UACGUAGGGGGCUAGCGUUGUCCGGAAUCAUUGGGCGUAAAGCGCGUGUUGGCGGUCCGGUAAGUCCGCUGUGAAAGUCGAGGGCUCAACCCUCGAAUGCCGGUGGAUACUGUCGGGCUUGAGUACGGGAGAGGCGAGUGGAAUUCCUGGUGUAGCGGUGAAAUGCGCAGAUAUCAGGAGGAACACCGAUUGCGAAGGCAGCUCGCUGGAACGUUACUGACGCUGAGACGCGAAAGCGUGGGGAGCAAACAGG
rnacentral:rRNA from 1 species